rnacentral:rRNA from 1 species
UACGAAGGGGGCUAGCGUUGUUCGGAAUUACUGGGCGUAAAGGGCGCGUAGGCGGUACUUCAAGUCAGGCGUGAAAGCCCCGGGCUCAACCUGGGAACCGCGCUUGAGACUGGAGAACUAGAGUUCGGGAGAGAAUGGUGGAAUUCCCAGUGUAGAGGUGAAAUUCGUAGAGAUCGGAAAGAACACCAACGGCGAAAGCACUCUGCUGGGCCGACACUGACACUGAGAGACGAAAGCUAGGGGAGCGAAUGGG